AUUGAACGCUGGCGGCGUGCCUAACACAUGCAAGUCGAGCGGUAACAGGUGUAGCAAUACAUGCUGACGAGCGGCGAACGGGUGAGUAAUGCUUCGGAAUCUACCCAAUGGUGGGGAAUAACCAGCCGAAAGGUUGGCUAAUACCGCAUACGUCCCACGGGAGAAAGCAGGGGAUCGCAAGACCUUGCGCCAAUGGAUGAGCCGAAGUCGGAUUAGCUAGUUGGAGGGUAACGGCCUACCAAGGCGACGAUCCGUAGCUGGUCUGAGAGGACGACCAGCCACACUGGGACUGAGACACGGCCCAGACUCCUACGGGAGGCAGCAGUGGGGAAUAUUGGACAAUGGGGGAAACCCUGAUCCAGCGACGCCGCGUGUGUGAAGAAGGCCUGCGGGUUGUAAAGCACUUUUAGUGGGGAUGAAAUGUUCAGGGUUAACACCUCUGGAUUUUGACCUAACCCACAGAAAAGCACCGGCUAACUCUGUGCCAGCAGCCG
rnacentral:rRNA from 1 species